CCUACGGGGGGCUGCAGUGGGGAAUAUUGGACAAUGGGCGAAAGCCUGAUCCAGCCAUGCCGCGUGUGUGAAGAAGGCCUUCGGGGUGUAAAGCACUUUCAGUGGGGAAGAAAGCCUUGGGGCUAAUACCCUCGAGGAAGGACAUCACCCACAGAAGAAGCACCGGCUAACUCCGUGCCAGCAGCCGCGGUAAUACGGAGGGUGCGAGCGUUAAUCGGAAUUACUGGGCGUAAAGCGCGCGUAGGCGGUCUGAUAAGCCGGUUGUGAAAGCCCCGGGCUCAACCUGGGAACGGCAUCCGGAACUGUCAGGCUAGAGUGCAGGAGAGGAAGGUAGAAUUCCCGGUGUAGCGGUGAAAUGCGUAGAGAUCGGGAGGAAUACCAGUGGCGAAGGCGGCCUUCUGGACUGACACUGACGCUGAGGUGCGAAAGCGUGGGUAGCAAACAGGAUUAGAUACCCCAGUAGUC
rnacentral:rRNA from 1 species